GGGAGAGUAAAUGAUCAAAACUUGGUCGAGCACUGUUAGGAUGAAAAUAUUUCUCUGAUAAGAUUAUAAAUAUUGUACUGUUAAUUAGUUUGCAAUGCUAUUAUUGAUCUAUUCGUAUGGAUCAUAAUUACAUAUGAGCUCGAUAGGUAGAUCAAUGUGGUAUAUUAUUACAUAUUUUUCCAGUUAGGGCAGUCCAUGCAUGCAUGAGUAGGUACAGGUUGUAUCUUUCAUGCAAAAGAAUGAUUUUAUCU
rnacentral:lncRNA from 1 species